CGAACACGGUAGUUAAGCUUCUCCGCGCCAAUGGUAGUUGGGGGUUUCCCCCUGCGAGAGUAGGUCGCUGCCGGGC
rnacentral:rRNA from 1 species